UACGUAGGGGGCGAGCGUUGUCCGGAUUUAUUGGGCGUAAAGAGCUCGUAGGCGGUUUGGUAAGUUGGAUGUGAAAUCUCCAGGCUCAACUUGGAGGGGUCAUUCGAUACUGCCAUGACUAGAGUUCGGUAGGGGAGUGUGGAAUUCCUGGUGGAGCGGUGAAAUGCGCAGAUAUCAGGAGGAACACCCGUAGCGAAGGCGGCACUCUGGGCCGGAACUGACGCUGAGGCGCGAAAGCUAGGGGAGCAAACGGG
rnacentral:rRNA from 1 species